GAUGAACGCUGGCGGCGUGCCUAAUACAUGCAAGUCGAGCGAACAGACGAGGAGCUUGCUCCUCUGACGUUAGCGGCGGACGGGUGAGUAACACGUGGAUAACCUACCUAUAAGACUGGGAUAACUUCGGGAAACCGGAGCUAAUACCGGAUAAUAUAUUGAACCGCAUGGUUCAAUAGUGAAAGACGGUUUUGCUGUCACUUAUAGAUGGAUCCGCGCCGCAUUAGCUAGUUGGUAAGGUAACGGCUUACCAAGGCAACGAUGCGUAGCCGACCUGUGAGGGUGGUCGGCCACACUGGAACUGGGCCACGGUCCAGACUCCUACGGGAGGCAGCAGUAGGGAAUCUUCCGCAGUGGGCGAAAGCCUGACGGAGCAACGCCGCGUGAGUGAUGAAGGUCUUCGGAUCGUAAAACUCUGUUAUUAGGGAAGAACAAAUGUGUAAGUAACUAUGCACGUCUUGACGGUACCUGAUCAGAAAGCCACGGCUAACUACGUG
rnacentral:rRNA from 1 species